GAUGAACGCUAGCUACAGGCUUAACACAUGCAAGUCGAGGGGCAGCAUAAAAUCAGCUUGCUGAUUUGAUGGCGACCGGCGCACGGGUGAGUAACACGUAUCCAACCUGGCCUUUACUCAGGGAUAGCCUUUCGAAAGAAAGAUUAAUACCUGGUGGCAUAAAUUGACCGCAUGGUUGAUUUAUUAAAGAUUUAUUGGUAAAGGAUGGGGAUGCGUUCCAUUAGCUUGUUGGUAAGGUAACGGCUUACCAAGGCAUCGAUGGAUAGGGGUUCUGAGAGGAAGGUCCCCCACACUGGAACUGAGACACUGUCCAGACUCCUACGGGAGGCAGCAGUGAGGAAUAUUGGGCAAUGGGGGAAACCCUGACCCAGCAACGCCGCGUGAGGGAAGACGGUUUUCGGAUUGUAAACCUCUGUCCUCUGUGAAGAUAAUGACGGUAGCAGAGGAGGAAGCUCCGGCUAACUACGUGCCAGCAGCCGCGGUAAAAC
rnacentral:rRNA from 1 species